GGGCGAUUAGCUCAGUUGGUUAGAGCAUCUGCUUUACACGCAGGGGGUCAGGGGUUCAAGUCCUCUAUCGCCCA
rnacentral:tRNA from 1 species